GUUAUGUUAUACUAUAAUGUUAUGUUUAGUGGUGCAGUUUGGCGCAGUUUGUUUUUGUUGCCGUUUGUGGAGCCUGGGCUGUCUACAGAGACCACGUUUUUUUUACAGUGUGUUCAGAGGACAGGCAGCUAGCGGAUAGUGAGGAGAUGUUUACUGUAUGUGACAAAAAAUGUUGUAGCCUAAAAAAAUGCAUGACAUCGCUAAGAGCACCUU